rnacentral:tmRNA from 1 species
GGGGGUGACUGGAAUUGAUUGGCAUCAGUCGAUUAGUGUCAGCACGUCGAGCCUGAGUUAAGCUCGUAAAAUCUGAUUCAUUUUUUUAACUGGCAAAACAAUUGCUAAGUUGGCGACUUUAGGACUUGUCCGUGAAACGUCAACAGUGGCUGUAUCGUAACUAAGUUACGAAAUAGCUCCAUCUCUUCUAAAGAAUUUAAGAUUUGUGUCUUUAGUUUUUGAGGUGUCAAAUAGACAAAUCGAACCCGGUAAUAAUUGUUCCACCGGAAAGUUGGAGAACAGUUGCGAAGGUCCCGAAAGUUGUUUAUUCUAUACGGACAUUCAAAGAGAAAUGAAUAAACUAAACGUGUAGGAUAGAUAUUAGUAGAAGAUGAACAAGACGGGGGUUCGAUACCCCCCACCUCCACCA